UUUCUGUGCAAAGAAGGGAAAAAAAUGCCGAAGCAAAGGAGGCCUACUAGACUAUGUAAAGCCAAAUUUCACAAUUUCUUCAACAUCCGAUGCAUGAAAAGCCAAAUUUCCAGAUUUCUGAUGUAUCAGCUUAACGGAUCUGUCAUGGGCGGUCGCCGCGACACACUAGCCUGCUGCUGCCGAGCACAAGUCCCUCGCCGUGGCCGCCGAUAUCAAGAAGGCAGUUUCCGGUUGCCGUCUUCAAGGGAAACUGGAAUAUAUUAGGUGCAGAGGGUAUAAGGCAUCGGCCCUCGACCCCAAGAAAAAUAAAGGUCAGCUUUGUGGUCGGGGAGAAAAUUCUGAAAUAGGGUUAUGUUCCAAUUUAUAUUGCGGCAUAACAGAAAAGGCGUAGAAUUUCACGCAUCUCCAACCGUGGCGUCCCUGGCCAGCUCCAGCCUAACCUCAAAUUUCUCUCUAUUUGGCUGUGGGUGAACAGUGGGACGUCAAUAUUGGCGUUGCACUGUUCAUCUCGGCCAUUUUUACCUCUCUACCGAACUUGGAUUGGGAUUCAGAUCGAAUGAGAAUAGCUUAUCUGAGCCAGGAAAGUCAGCCUACGAUAGGUCUGUGAAGAGAGUACCGUUACCUCCAAAAGUGUGAAAAAUGGAGUUCAAUUGGAGAUGAAUGGCAGCAUUUUGUAGCUUCACGGCAUUUUGGAGUGAAACAUGAGAUUUUCGGUUGGAGAUGCUCUCUUGCUUUGGCGUUGGAGGGGAUGAGAUACGGCAAUCCAUCUUUAUACUAACAUUGUCUCUUCAGUGCCAGUUCUUUCUGAAGUAAAGAAAAGAAAAAGGAUUUCAUCCUUUUCAAGGCUAACCAGGGCAGGUAAUAGCUUGAGAUGCCGGUUGUUUUAACAAUUUGCUGUUUGUCCUACAUUCAAUUGGUAUAAUUUCUUUCGUGUUAUUUUGUUGUGUUUUUACAGUCUUGUAUAAAAUAAAAUUAUCAUAUUUCUAUGCCUUAGAGAAGCUGUUCGUGCAAAAUAGGGAGUUUUCAAGCACAUUUCUAUUAAUCAAAAUUGCUUUUCGAAAAGUUAAGCAUGGAAAGGCUACCAAAUAAAGCCUAUAUACUAUUUGACAUAAUUUUAUGCUAUCCGCUUCCACUUUUUGGAGCAAUAGAAGAAGUUUUAGGAUGUUUGAAAAAACAAUUGUGAGAAAAUGUUCAGUUGUCUGAAAGCAGAAGAGUAGUUUGCUUAGAAUGAAAAAUUAGAUGGCUUUUCAGAAAAAGCAAUUUUAUUGAUUUUAGCUUUUUAUCUUAUAAUUAAUUAGAAUAUUUAUUUAUUCAAUAGAUUAGGAUAUGUUAUUUAUGAUUUUAUGGCAUUCAUUCAAGUCAUUGAAUCAACUCAUAUUAGUUAGAUAGUAGUUGUUUAUCAAAUAAUCAUGACUGUUGCAGCAAUUUAAAUAAAUUUUAAUAUGAUUUUAGAAAAUGGUCAUCUAUUCUACUUGACAAAUCAGCAUAAUUCAACAUAAGAAAACAAUGUCAAAUUAAGCUUGGAAGUUGUGCAUUCAAGCAAGCAACAUAUUCAUGCUGUCUAGUAGCAUAUGAUGCCACUCAUCUGCCUGAGCAUCUUCAUCUCUGCAACACUUCACUAAAUAUUAUGCUUCUCUUUUAAUGGCCAACAUUCUGCACCAUAAAGCAUUACAGGUUUCACCAUCAUCUUAUAGAAUUUUCUCUUAAGUUUGUGGGGGACUUUUCUAUCAAACAACAAGCCCGUUGCAUUCCUCUACUUCAAUCCAACUUGAAUUCUACAGCAUUCGUUCUUGUUGAAUGUUGUAUAAAAUGUUAAACAUAUUCUUCAUAAAUCAUUUUGAACAAUUGCUUUCCUUGUAAUCUUGUUUACCAGUUUUUCUUUAUAAUUCUCCAACACUAACUUUAUCAAUUUAUUUAAAGAGUGUAUUUUUUACCCUUUGUUGCACAUGUCCAAAUGACCUAUAUCUAUUUUCAUUCACUUGCAUCUUCAAUGAAUAUUAUUGAUGAGGACAUCGUCAGCAAUUUCGACAUGUGUGCCAUCGGAGACACCGGAGAUCGACGGCCACGAUCAGGAGUUUUAUUUAUUUUGUCAUGUUAUGUAGUAAUUUGUUUUAUUUUAGUUUUUCCAUUUUUACCCUUAUGGGUAUUUGGUCUCUAUUGUAGCCCAAGGGGCAUUUUAGUCUUUUGUUUCCGUUGUCAUUUUGAGGCCUAUAUAUAUGGUCAUUUCUUAUGUAUUGAACUAAUGAAUGAUGAAUGAAAAGCUAUGUUUGUUUCUA